UUCCAGUUAACUUGUUAUGUCCUCAUAUUGUAAUGUACUGAGCUGUUAUAAACCCUGAGAGCAAAGGGCAACAGCAGCUACAUCAGGCUGAGGACUGGCGUCAUACAAACAGCAUGAUUGGCACUCUGUGAGAGAGAAGAUAUAGAGCCUUAUUAUAAGACUAGGAACAGCAGGAUCUCUAUAAAUUCAGCUGUAUCAGUAUGUAAGGCCAUUCUCAAAUGUAAUUUGUGUUUGGAAUUUUACACCACAGGCAUUUCUUAUACUUGUAUAGACAUCUCAUUCCUUGGGCUCUGCCAUAAGGUCUCACUCAACAUGGUUAAACUUUUGCAUCUAUGCUUAAAGGCAAUCAUAAGUUAAAGUUUUGCCUAACUGAGGCUUUAAAUGAUAACCAGCCAGUUAUUAAUUCUCACUAAGUGUUUAGAACUGUCUGUGUAGAGGAUACAAGAAGUAACUUCACCAAACGUUACCUAUACUUAAUGUAGGAUAAAUAAACUCUCUGCCAACAUAGAUAUCACAAGGUUCACAGUGGUUAUUUAAAACAAUACGUUUGCUAUGUAAGCUAGUCUUUUUUUGAAGAUUUUAAUGUGAUCAAAACUUAAUUUUCCAUGGUGAAAUAUUUAGUCAGUCCUACAUUUUCAUACAGUUCUGUAGGAAGUGGAUUCCUUUAUGAAUUACCAUACUGAUAAAAAUGAUUGAUUCCUAUCAUUUCAUUUCUCUUUUAUCUUCCAUUUUAUUAAUGUCUGAGUUAAUGGAAGAUAGAAACUCAUGUAUCUAGAAUCACUGGUCACUCCAAAGUAAAGAUCAAUCCUAUUAAAUGCUGUGAAUAAUGAUUCACAAAGGAUUCAUUUGACAUAUGUGCUCACUUUGGGGAACAUCAAGCAGUGAAAUUGUUAUCCGUACUUUAAAACACUCCUUUUUUUUUUAAUCUGGAGUAUUAAUAUCAGAAGAUAUCAAUCUCUUUGGAAAUACAUACGCCACUAUCUGACAGAGUGGUCUGCACAUACAAGUCAUGCAUGUUUCCGAAAGAAUCACUGUCCAAAGGGUACCCUGGAUCACAAAAUGCGUGGAGAACCUGCAACAUGACUGAGGUCAGGAAUGAGAGUCUGUCUUUCAGCCACUGAUGUGACGUGAGGGGACAUCUGCCAGCUCAGGAGGGAGUCUGAAGCCCAAGAAGAUAAUUGAAGCAGUAAUAAAAUCUCAUUCAGGACUCAUUUUAGGCAGAAGGCAACACCCCAAAUAAGAACCCCUGGCCGUGGACCUGGGGCAGCAGCAAUCUUGAUUUCUCUGCAGAACAGAGUCAUGGGAUUCCACAGCCACUGAGGCUCAGCAUUUAGGUACUGCCCAGUGCAACCAGCCUGCAUGUACCUGCCCUCCUCUGCCAGUGAAUUUUCCCCUGUAAUAAAAUCUGACCCAUUAUAAUCCCCAUUUCAUCCUACACAGGCAACGAACUGUUCUGAUUCUGCUUGCAAUCUAGUAUUUUGUUUUCUACAUGUUUCAUUAGCUUAAAGGGAGAAAAAAAUAUAUGUAAUGUUGAUUGUAGCUCAUUUCCUGCUCAGUGCUAUUGCCUGUAGGCCAGAGACUGAUAGACUGAUGUCAGGUCUAUGAUACCAGAUCAAAAUGAAAGGCAAGCUCUGAAUAUAAGUUAUUCAAAGUUGUGUUAAAAAAUAAAAAUAAUAAUUGUUCCUGCUAGGAUCUACAUUAACAAAUAUACAAUGACCUUGAUGCAGUGGUGGUUAUCAAAGAAAAAUGUGAGAUUAAUGAUGGAGAGAAAUGUUACCCAGCAGUUUACCCAACAUUAUGAAAUUCUAUUUCAAAGGAAAUGACAGUGAUCACUAAUCUUAGUGUUUUCAUUGUACUUAUCUUAAAAUAACAAUCACUUUUAGUAGGUAAAUGAGAUUUGGCCUUCCAGGAGAUAAGAAAAAAUGUUAAAGUUAUGUUUAUGAAAAGCCAAAUUGAGUGCUGUGAUUGCUGUGACCUUUUUUCUUUAUGCUGUCCUCAUCUACAUAGUCCUAUCUAUAGAUGAACUCUAAAAACCCUUAGGGCAGGGAAACAGUUAAGUCAUCAGAGAAAGAUCCUCCUUUGUUCUAGAUGCUGUAUAAUACUCAGCAAAAGCAGCCUUAAUUCCUUAAUACAAAUAAAAAUAAAUAAAUGUAUCAUAGUAACAUGGGGUUGGAAGAGACUUUAAAGAACCUAUAGUCUAUCUGUUAGGGCUGCUCCAAAAGUAAUGCCUCCUACUUUUUGAUGUUAGCCUACAAUGUUUGAAGCAGAUGUUGGUAGUAUGACUGUAGAGGUUAAACCUUCCCACCAAUAUUUUGUUGUCAUGUGACAGAUGGCAGCAGAGGGGCUGUCUGACACAAUGACAUCUUAUGUAGAAAUGCAUAUGAAGCAAAGGUGUAGAACUGAAUGCCUCCACUUGUUGAAAUCCAUUGAUGCUUGCUAAACGUUGAUGGAGACCAAACAGUGGAUGUCAGCACAGUGAGGCUGUGGGUGGUAAAUUUCAGCAGAGGUAAGAGCAACAUGAAUGACAAGGCACAUUCUGGACAACCAUGCAUAUUGUUACAAGUGCAGCAUGCAGACUCUUGGUCAGGGCUGGUGAAAAUGCAUAGCUAAUGGUAUGUUGAAAUGGUAUUUUGUAGCUGAGAAUUUGCUCUGUCAAAUAGUGUUAUUGUGCUCUUUGCAUCUGUUGUAGUUUCCAUGGAAAUAAAUAAGAGCCAUUACUUUCACAAUGACCUAUGCAUUUAUAAGUCUUCCCAGUAUUCACGUGGAGGACAGAAAAACAGGACGUUUUAAUUAUGAUAAAAUGAUGUUGUUUUGUUUUAUUUUUUUUUCUCAAGUACCUACAGAUGACAAUACAAUAAAAGAUAAUAGAAGAUUAUGAAUAUUUUCUUUCUUAUCCUUCAAAGUUUGCAUGAAUAAUGUGCUCCCUCAUUUAUAGAGGACAGCAACAUCAAUUUUUUUCCUCAUUAAAGACAAUCUUUUGUUUUGCUAAUAUAGAUAAUGUGUCCUAGCACAUAAUUUCAUCAUUGCUGAUGUUUGCCUUUGGAACUAUAACAUGAAAGAGUAUCGCACUGUAAAAGCUUCAUUAUGUUUGUUAUUAUUGUUUUGUUUAUGGGUUUUUGGGUUGUUUUUGUUUUGGUUUGGUUUGGUUUGGUUUUUCGAAUGUGUGUAUAUUGGUAAAAUUCUGUGAACUACUGUGGAACAAUAGUUUGCUUUUUUUCCUUUGGAGUUCAUUCAGCACAAACAUAAAUGCUCCACUGAUACAGUGUAGAGGAUACAAUUUGUAAAUUUAGCUUAGCAAAACCCAGUAUUGUGUGUUGACAGACAAGAAAAGCUAUGUCUACACUACAAUGAGGAGUUUAGAUUGCUGCACAUGCAGGCAUAACUGAGCUAGCUUUAAACUUCUAAUCUUCAUUCCUGUAUCAAUAGCAGGAAACCUACCAGAAUGUAGGUUUUCUGCUAAAACCCAAGCUUAAGUGAGCAAAACCCAAGCUUAAGAGCAAACAGAGUGUGGAAGCAUAAUUUUGAGCCAUCAAUAUUAUGCUUGCACAUAAACCUGAACAUUCACUUGGCAGCUGUAUCCUAUGGCAUGCAGUUUUAAAUUAAAACUAGCUCAGUAUGUCUUGCAUAUGCUACAAUCACACUUCAGUCUGAAACCUCAUACAGCCUAAAUCGAAGCAGCAAUGCAUACUUCACACUUAGAAAUGGUCUUCCAGAUCUGGUCAUCUGUGGGACAGAUGUGUAACACAUUCCUCACAUCUGAAUCAAAAACAGUUUUACAUCAACCUUCCUGUUGUACUUCUUUUCAACCACCCAUUUCCAGAUCUGACCAUUGGCAGCAGUCAUGUAGUAUGUUUGGUUUAAUACCUUUGCACCCCUGUUUUUAUUUAUCCCAUGUAAGCACACAUUCUCCUGGGCAAUCUUGGCAGUCUCUGAGGGGCACUGAAGUGAGCAAGGAAGAAGAUGACAACUGUGGCACUGAAAUGAGUGCACACCUACUGAAAUGAGAAAGCAAUCAAAACCAUGAGAACGCAUGGCAAACUCGUCCAUGGGAGCCAUUUAAGGAAGGAGCCUUGACUUUCAAUAUAUUUUUGGAACAUGCGGUCAGAUAUUAUAAAACUACCUUGUAUUCUCUUCACCACUUGUGGCAACACAAGCAUGCGACCUAAUACAUUAACAAUCUAGAUCUGAUUGCAAGUUAAUUGCAAGUAGAAUGUAAUGGUCUUGCUGUGCACUAAACCACUAACCACUUUCUCCCCCAAGAUCCUCUUUCAUAAUAUGAUGAAAGUGUUGUAGAGAAGAAAAUAUAUCAGGGUUCUCUACCAUGGUAUAAAAUGAGAGCUUAAAAUAAAAUAUGAUUUCUUCUUAUCUUUUUCACAAUGUGAAGAACUCAUCCAGUUUUCCACAUAGUUGCCAGACUUUACCUGGAGAUACAAUACCACUGCAUGGAGAGGACUCUACACAUCAACUGCUGGCCCCUCAAGCAAGCAACACCUAUUACAAUGCUCAUGGUGUUACUAUGGAUUAAAAAGCAGAGGAGAGUACGACAGGGUGAAGUUGGAGUCCUACUAUGUGUUAUCAUUUAAAAGCAGAAAAUGUAUUGCUUUUUUUUUUCUGGUAGUAUUUGAAUCAGAGUACUGCAUGUUAUUACCCUACAAACUACCCUGCUGUUCUUUCUGUUGUUGUAAAAUGAAAUUGGAACCCAUGGAGUAGAGGUCCAAUUUAGCUCACCGUGGUUAAGUGCAUUUAACCUGACAUGUGUCCUCAGAUCUUCUGGUGAAAGUAAUUAUGAAAGUGAACUACAUGGUAAUAUAUGAUAACAAGUGCUUAUUUUCCUGCUCAGUUCAUUGGAACUCUAGUCGGGGAAUAUGGGGUGCCAUUGUAAUAUAAAUAUCUUGCUGUUGUUUUGUUGCUGCUAAUAAUAACAACAAAUGUCCACUAUUAAUGCUAUUAAAACUAUUUAAUACUUUACAGUAUGCUUUGCGAAUAAAUAGUAUGUGAUGGAAAAGAAAUGCCUUUAUGUUCAUCUAUUGCUAACAGGACUUGUAGAUUGUGUUGUCUGAAAUACACUUUUCAUAAAAUAUAUAUAUAUAUAUAUCUAAUUUAUUUUACCAUGAAAGACAAGACUAGUAACAGUAGAUAGACUAAAUGAGAGCAAUUAGUGGUAUUGCACAGAUAUCCAUUACAGCCCAGCUAGCAGUAGCAUGUUGUAUCCUGUUUGAUGAGAACUCAGCACAGUGGUAUUUGCUAAUGUUAUUACUUCUACAUUCAAAAGAAAGUGAAAUGGGUCAAGAUUCAGGAACUGUAACCAUAGUAAUGAGUAGCAGGAUUCCAGUGUUUAAAGGAGAACUGUUAAUUUUUUAAGGAGAAAAAGAAAGAAAGAAAAUAAAAACAACAGGGAGAUAGGUGUAAAAAGAACAUAAAGGAAUAUAACCUGACAAUAAUGCCAAAGAGCCCAAAUCUGAUCCUGCUGAAAUUAUCUCAACUCCUACUGAUUUACUGGAAAGAAGAUUGGAGUUCAGCCUAGCAACUAAUAACAGUUCCUAUGAAUUGAAGUUGCUGGAGAGGACACUCCUGUGCUUGAAGAUCCAAAGAGUCCCAGCCAGGAUAUGAAUCUCCUUUCCCAGUCUUGGACUUUCUGUGUGCCCAAACAGAAGGACAUGCACUACAUUCUAAACAGUUAAAGACAGC
ensembl:lncRNA